GAAAAGCCAUGGCAAAGCCAGGUGCCCUUGUGGAGAAGUCCUCUGACAGGAUGAAUCAUGAUCUGGGAGAAUUAAUAGCUGUAGACGGCGUCAGAUUGAAAGGUAGCAGCAAUUCCCAGUGGCGGCUUCCCAGAGCAGAGGGAACACCUCAGUGGAUAGUUCAUUUGUUAUUCAGCAUCUGGGAUUCUUUUCAGUGUCUCCAAUUACUGGUCUGAUCCAAUUCCC
rnacentral:lncRNA from 1 species